UAUGUUAGUAUCUCUUCCAUUUCUUCAACUGAGUUUCUGUUCAGAGUGGCUUCAUAUGUAUGUUACAUAUCGACUUCUCCAUCUCCUGCCAUGGAAACUGAUGGCUUCCGGAUAGAUCAGAAUAGACUUUGGGGAGGUUGGUGUAGUGUGUGACGGGAAGAAACGAGGUGAAGCUUCUCCCAAUCGUCUGGCGGUGAGGAGGACGCGAGUUGGAGGUGGAUUGAGCUCGAUGGCCAAGAGGGGCCGUCAACUGAUUGGGGAGUUUGGUGCAGCGUGUGAUGGCAGGAAACGAGGGCUCUAUGUAAAUCCGGAAUGAUGUUUGGUACAGGCCGGGCAAUGGAGAAUCAUUGUUAAAGGUGAUAUUGCAGGCAUCAUCAUGGCCACAUCAAAGGUCCUAAGCUCAAGGUCCACAACUACUGCCUUCCCCAAGAAGGCCAUCUUUGAGGCUACAUCAGCAAGGUCACCGUCUACAGAGGACUCAUUUUUUGCCUCACAAUUACAUUUCUAC